CCAUGGCCACAAUAGCAACUCUUGUCCCAUUGUCAAUUUUAAGGGUUACUUCCUUAGUCCUCUACCUUCCCAUAGACUCUAUGCAUAAGAAGCACUAGAGUUUAAAACUCAACUGGGAGAAGAAGAAAUCGUAAGGAUAAUAUUGAGUAAUUUCAACAUGCCUACUCAAAGUAUGUCCUUGUUUCUUUAGGCUCUUCAGGUAUGUACCUCUGAACUUUUCAAGGUUCUUUAGUUGUCAAUAUUUUGACCAAUUCAGAUAGGAUACCAAGA
rnacentral:lncRNA from 1 species